UCAUGCUCUUCAUAGCCUGACAGUGGAUAAGCCACUUAUAAUAAUUAUUGUACAUUACAAACUUGUCAGGUGUCAGGAAAACUUUCAGAGUUGAAGACUACCAUCGAUGUAGGAUUGCUUCAUUGGAACACCUUAGUCUAUUGGACAUCAGUAUGAGCAGUGGAGCCUUCUGUUGAGGAGGGAAAAAGCCAUUUAUCACACCCUAAAUAUGCUUAGCUUUAAUGUGACGAGAAAAUGUCUCCUUGCAGAAGGUUGGUGUCCUGUUUUUGCGACAAGUCAGGUUUGCUCUUGAACUAGGAAUUUAAUUCUGAUAUAAAGUGCAUAAGCUUAUAUGGAUUGCAACUUUACAUUUGCUCUUGAACUAGGGAUUGUAACUCCUAGGUUGGAGCCAUAUUUCAGGUUCUCCAUACCAAGGAAUCACCGUCGACCUAUUUUUACACAAACAAAUUUACUUCUUCUUUUCAAUAAAUUGUAGAUGCUUAUGGAGUUGCCAAGUGCCAGGAGGCAAAUCCCGGUGUAUACACAAUCAUCACCUUUCCGUUCCUUUUCGCUAUCAUGUUUGGUGAUUGGGGCCAUGGCAUAUGCAUAUUGCUGGCUUCUUUGUACCUCGUAAUCAGAGAGAAAAAGUAUUCGAGUCAGGUACUCAACUCAUCGAUUUUUGUAUUCAUGAUGAUUGCUUCCUCGUCCUCAUUUUCCAUGCUUGCAUUAAUUUUUUCUUGUUGAUGUCAACGGCAGAAACUUGGAAACAUCAUGCAA